rnacentral:tRNA from 1 species
GCGGGUCGUUAGCUCAGCUGGUAGAGCAGCGGACUUUUAAUCCGUUGGUCGGCGGUUCGAAUCCAUCAGCCGGCACCA